GAUGAACGCUGGCGGCGUGCCUAAUACAUGCAAGUCGAGCGAACAGACGAGGAGCUUGCUCCUCUGACGUUAGCGGCGGACGGGUGAGUAACACGUGGAUAACCUACCUAUAAGACUGGGAUAACUUCGGGAAACCGGAGCUAAUACCGGAUAAUAUAUUGAACCGCAUGGUUCAAUAGUGAAAGACGGUUUUGCUGUCACUUAUAGAUGGAUCCGCGCCGCAUUAGCUAGUUGGUAAGGUAACGGCUUACCAAGGCAACGAUGCGUAGCCGACCUGAGAGGGGGACCGCCACCAGUGGACUGGACACCCGGCCCAGCCUCCUAGGGGGGGAACAAGGGGGAAACCCUCCGAAAGGGGGAAAGGUUGGCGGGAGCACCGCGGCGGGAGGGAGAAGGUUUUUGGUAUCUAAAAACUUGUUUAUUAGGGAAAAAAAAUUGGGUAAGUAAAUAUGCACGUCUGGAGGGUCCCUAACAAGAAGGCCACGGAAAACUCGGUA
rnacentral:rRNA from 1 species